rnacentral:rRNA from 1 species
UACGUAGGGGGCAAGCGUUGUCCGGAAUCAUUGGGCGUAAAGAGCGCGUAGGCGGCCCUGUAAGUCCGCUGUGAAAGUCAAGGGCUCAACCCUUGAAUGCCGGUGGAAACUGCAGAGCUUGAGUGCCGGAGAGGGUGGCGGAAUUCCCCAAGUAGAGGUGAAAUUCGUAGAUAUGGGGAGGAACACCGGUGGCGAAGGCGGCCACCUGGACGGUAACUGACGCUGAGACGCGAAAGCGUGGGGAGCAAACAGG